rnacentral:rRNA from 1 species
AGUGUAGGCGGCAUAGCAAGUUAGAUGUGAAAGCCCGCAGCUUAACUGCGGAACUGCAUCUAAAACUGCUGAGCUUGAGUGCAGGAGAGGUAAGUGGAAUUCCUAGUGUAGCGGUGGAAUGCGUAGAUAUUAGGAGGAACAUCAGAGGCGAAGGCGACUUACUGGACUGUAACUGACGCUGAGGCUCGAAAGGCGUGGGAGCAAACA